CACGGUAAACGAUGGAUGCCCGCUGUUUGCGAUAUACUGUGAGCGGCCAAGAGAAAUCGUUAAGCAUCCCACCUGGGGAGUACGCCGGCAACGGUGAAACUCAAAGGAAUUGACGGGGGCCCGCACAAGCGGAGGAACAUGUGGUUUAAUUCGAUGAUACGCGAGGAACCUUACCCGGGCUUGAACUGCAGGAGAACGAUACAGAGAUGUUGAGGUCCUUCGGGACUCCUGUGGAGGUGCUGCAUGGUUGUCGUCAGCUCGUGCCGUGAGGUGUCGGCUUAAGUGCCAUAACGAGCGCAACCCUUUUCGUCAGUUGCCAUCAGGUGAAGCUGGGCACUCUGGCGAUACUGCCACCGUAAGGUGUGAGGAAGGUGGGGAUGACGUCAAAUCAGCACGGCCCUUACGUCCGGGGCUACACACGUGUUACAAUGGGUGGUACAGAGAGUCAACCGCCGGCAACGUCGGUUUAAUCAAAAAAGCCAUCCUCAGUUCGGAUUGGGGUCUGCAACCCGACC
rnacentral:rRNA from 1 species